rnacentral:rRNA from 1 species
UACGUAGGGUGCGAGCGUUAAUCGGAUUUACUGGGCGUAAAGCGUGCGCAGGCGGAUCUGUAAGUCAGAGGUGAAAUCCUGCGGCUUAACCGUAGAACUGCCUUUGAUACUGCAGAUCUUGAGUUCGAAAGAGAGUAGCGGAAUUCCAGGUGUAGUGGUGAAAUACGUAGAUAUCUGGAAGAACACCAGUGGCGAAGGCGGCUACUUGGUUCGCAACUGACGCUGAGGCGCGAAAGCGUGGGGAGCAAACAGG